rnacentral:rRNA from 1 species
CACGUAGGGCGCAAGCGUUGUCCGGAAUUAUUGGGCGUAAAGAGCUCGUAGGCGGUCUGUUGCGUCCGCUGUGAAAACUCGGGGCUUAACCCCGAGCCUGCAGUGGAUACGGGCAGACUAGAGGUAGGUAGGGGAGAAUGGAAUUCCCGGUGUAGCGGUGAAAUGCGCAGAUAUCAGGAAGAACACCCGUGGCGAAGGCGGCUCUCUGGGACGGUACUGACGCUGAGACGCGAAAGCGUGGGGAGCAAACAGG